CUCCAGCAGACCCUCCCUCCCAGACCCUUCCACCUCCUGGAGAGCAUCCAUGUUGAAACAUGGAUGCUGUCCAGGAGGUGGGAGGGUCUGGGAGGGAGGGUCUGCUGGAG